rnacentral:rRNA from 1 species
UACGAAGGGGGCUAGCGUUGCUCGGAAUUACUGGGCGUAAAGGGCUCGUAGGUGGCCAACUAAGUCAGACGUGAAAUCCCUCGGCUUAACCGGGGAACUGCGUCUGAUACUGGAUGGCUUGAGAUUGGGAGAGGGACGCGGAAUUCCAGGUGUAGCGGUGAAAUGCGUAGAUAUCUGGAGGAACACCGGUGGCGAAGGCGGCGUCCUGGACCAACACUGACACUGAGGAGCGAAAGCCAGGGGAGCAAACGGG